rnacentral:rRNA from 1 species
AUCUACCAUUUAGUGGGGAAUAACUGUUGGAAACGACAGCUAAUACCGCAUAAUAUUGCUGGAUAAUUCCCAGUAAUGAAAGGAGCUUUCAAGCUCCGCUGAUUGAUGAGGAUGCGGCGCAUUAGCUAGUUGGUAGGGUAAUGGCCUACCAAGGCAAUGAUGCGUAGCCGAUCUGAGAGGAUGAACGGCCACAUUGGGACUGAGACACGGCCCAAACUUCUACGGAAGGCAGCAGUAGGGAAUUUUUCACAAUGGGCGAAAGCCUGAUGGAGCAAUGCCGCGUGACUGAUGAAGGUCUUCGGGUUGUAAAGGUCUGUUGUAAGGGAAGAAAUGGUAAAACAGGAAAUGGUUUUAUCUAUGACGGUACCUUACCAGAAAGCCACGGCUAACUAUGUGCCAGCAGCCGCGGUAAUACAUAGGUGGCAAGCGUUAU